rnacentral:rRNA from 1 species
UACGUAGGGUGCAAGCGUUGUCCGGAAUUAUUGGGCGUAAAGAGCUCGUAGGCGGUCUGUCACGUCGGUUGUGAAAUCCCGAGGCUCAACCUCGGGUCUGCAGUCGAUACGGGCAAACUAGAGUAUUGCAGGGGAGACUGGAAUUCCUGGUGUAGCGGUGAAAUGCGCAGAUAUCAGGAGGAACACCGGUGGCGAAGGCGGGUCUCUGGGCAAUAACUGACGCUGAGGAGCGAAAGCGUGGGGAGCGAACAGG